GAAGCCCCAGUAAACGGCGGCCGUAACUAUAACGGUCCUAAGGUAGCGAAAUUCCUUGUCGGGUAAGUUCCGACCUGCACGAAUGGCAUAAUGAUGGCCAGGCUGUCUCCACCCGAGACUCAGUGAAAUUGAAAUCGCCGUGAAGAUGCGGUGUACCCGCGGCUAGACGGAAAGACCCCGUGAACCUUUACUAUAGCUUGACACUGAACAUUGAAUUUUGAUGUGUAGGAUAGGUGGGAGACUUAGAAGUAGUCACGCCAGUGAUUAUGGAGUCGUCCUUGAAAUACCACCCUUUAACGUUUGAUGUUCUAACGAAGAUUGCGGAACGCGGUCUCGGACAGUGUCUGGUGGGUAGUUUGACUGGGGCGGUCUCCUCCCAAAGAGUAACGGAGGAGCACGAAGGUUUGCUAAUCACGGUCGGACAUCGUGAGGUUAGUGCAAUGGUAUAAGCAAGCUUAACUGCGAGACAGACAAGUCGAGCAGGUACGAAAGUAGGUCAUAGUGAUCCGGUGGUUCUGAAUGGAAGGGCCAUCGCUCAACGGAUAAAAGGUACUCCGGGGAUAACAGGCUGAUACCGCCCAAGAGUUCAUAUCGACGGCGGGGUUUGGCACCUCGAUGUCGGCUCAUCACAUCCUGGGGCUGAAGUAGGUCCCAAGGGUAUGGCUGUUCGCCAUUUAAAGUGGUACGCGAGCUGGGUUUAGAACGUCGUGAGACAGUUCGGUCCCUAUCUGCCGUGGGCGUUGGAGAAUUGGUUGGGGCUGCUCCUAGUACGAGAGGACCGGAGUGGACGCACCACUGGUGUUCCGGUUGUGUCGCCAGACGCAUUGCCGGGUAGCUAAGUGCGGAAGAGAUAAGUGCUGAAAGCAUCUAAGCACGAAACUUGCCAAGAGAUGAGUUCUCCCA
rnacentral:rRNA from 1 species